rnacentral:rRNA from 1 species
CUACAGGCUUAGCACAUGCAAGUCGAGGGGCAGCAUGGUCUUAUCUUGCUAAGACUGAUGGCGACCGGCGCACGGGUGAGCAACACGUAUCCAACCUGCCGUCUACUCUUGGACAGCCUUCUGAAAGGAAGAUUAAUACAAGAUGGCAUCAUGAGUCCGCAUGUUCACAUGAUUAAAGGUAUUCCGGUAGACGAUGGGGAUGCGUUCCAUUAGAUAGUAGGCGGGGUAACGGCCCACCUAGUCUUCGAUGGAUAGGGGUUCUGAGAGGAAGGUCCCCCACAUUGGAACUGAGACACGGUCCAAACUCCUACGGGAGGCAGCAGUGAGGAAUAUUGGUCAAUGGGCGAGAGCCUGAACCAGCCAAGUAGCGUGAAGGAUGACUGCCCUAUGGGUUGUAAACUUCUUUUAUAAAGGAAUAAAGUCGGGUAUGCAUACCCGUUUGCAUGUACUUUAUGAAUAAGGAUCGGCUAACUCCGUGCCAGCAGCCGCGGUAAUACGGAGGAUCCGAGCGUUAUCCGGAUUUAUUGGGUUUAAAGGGAGCGUAGAUGGAUGUUUAAGUCAGUUGUGAAAGUUUGCGGCUCAACCGUAAAAUUGCAGUUGAUACUGGAUAUCUUGAGUGCAGUUGAGGCAGGCGGAAUUCGUGGUGUAGCGGUGAAAUGCUUAGAUAUCACGAAGAACUCCGAUUGCGAAGGCAGCCUGCUAAGCUGCAACUGACAUUGAGGCUCGAAAGUGUGGGUAUCAAACAGGAUUAGAUACCCUGGUAGUCCACACGGUAAACGAUGAAUACUCGCUGUUUGCGAUAUACUGCAAGCGGCCAAGCGAAAGCGUUAAGUAUUCCACCUGGGGAGUACGCCGGCAACGGUGAAACUCAAAGGAAUUGACGGGGGCCCGCACAAGCGGAGGAACAUGUGGUUUAAUUCGAUGAUACGCGAGGAACCUUACCCGGGCUUAAAUUGCAGAUGAAUUACGGUGAAAGCCGUAAGCCGCAAGGCAUCUGUGAAGGUGCUGCAUGUUUGUCGUCAGCUCGUGCCGUGAGGUGUCGGCUUAAGUGCCAUAACGAGCGCAACCCUUGUUGUCAGUUACUAACAGGUUCCGCUGAGGACUCUGACAAGACUGCCAUCGUAAGAUGUGAGGAAGGUGGGGAUGACGUCAAAUCAGCACGGCCCUUACGUCCGGGGCUACACACGUGUUACAAUGGGGGGUACAGAGGGCCGCUACCACGCGAGUGGAUGCCAAUCCCCAAAACCUCUCUCAGUUCGGACUGGAGUCUGCAACCCGACUCCACGAAGCUGGAUUCGCUAGUAAUCGCGCAUCAGCCACGGCGCGGUGAAUACGUUCCCGGGCCUUGUACACACCGCCCGUCAAGCCAUGGGAGCCGGGGGUACCUGAAGUGCGUAACCGCGAGGAGCGCCCUAGGGUAAAACUGGUGACUGGGGCU